CGUAUCACUUAAAGCGAUUCAGCGGGUUACGAUUGACGGAGCGAAGCGACGUCAAAGCGUAUACAAAGUCGAGUCGGUUUAAGGAUACGUUCGUUGGGUAGGGGAGCGUUCUGUAAGCCUGCGAAGGUGGCCUGUGAGGGUUGCUGGAGGUAUCAGAAGUGCGAAUGCUGACAUAAGUAACGAUAAAGCGGGUGAAAAGCCCGCUCGCCGGAAGACCAAGGGUUCCUGUCCAACGUUAAUCGGGGCAGGGUGAGUCGACCCCUAAGGCGAGGCCGAAAGGCGUAGUCGAUGGGAAACGGGUUAAUAUUCCCGUACUUGGUGUUACUGCGAAGGGGGGACGGAGAAGGCUAUGUUGGCCGGGCGACGGUUGUCCCGGUUUAAGCGUGUAGGUGUGUGUUCCAGGUAAAUCCGGUU
rnacentral:rRNA from 3 species